UUUACUUUGAAAAGUACUAGCUCCCCAACUAACAUCACCUCCAAUAUUCUGCUCAGUAGAUGGUUCGACAUCCGAAUUUGCAAGUUCUUCUAUCUUAGUAUCGUGAUCAGAUUCAAUAUCUUCAUCGACGUUAUCCGCUAGUAACGUAUUAUUAGAAAACUGAAAUCCAGAUGUAUUUUUCGUUGAAACUUGGCUACUACCAAAAAUUGAA